GACGAACGCNGGCGGCGUGCUUAACACAUGCAAGUCGAACGGAGCGAAUGAAAGCUUGCUUUUAUGAGCUUAGUGGCAAACGGGUGAGUAACACGUAGACAACCUGCCGACAGGAUGGGGACAACAUUCCGAAAGGAAUGCUAAUACCGAAUGAAGCGGAGGAGAGGCAUCUCUCUUCCGUGAAAGAUGGCCUCUUUUUAUGCUAUCACCUGUUGAUGGGUCUGCGUCUGAUUAGCUGGUAGGUGAGGUAACGGCUCACUUAGGCGACGAUCAGUAGCCGGUCUGAGAGGAUGAACGGCCACAUUGGGACUGAGACACGGCCCAGACUCCUACGGGAGGCAGCAGUGGGGAAUCUUCCGCAAUGGGCGCAAGCCUGACGGAGCAACGCCGCGUGAGUGAAGAAGGUCUUCGGAUCGUAAAGCUCUGUUGACGGGGACGAACGUGCGUGAUGCGAACAGUGUCAUGCAANGACGGNACC
rnacentral:rRNA from 1 species